rnacentral:rRNA from 1 species
GACGAACGCUGGCGGCGUGCUUAACACAUGCAAGUCGUACGGUAAGGCCCUUUCGGGGGUACACGAGUGGCGAACGGGUGAGUAACACGUGAGUAACCUGCCCACAACUUUGGGAUAACGCUAGGAAACUGGUGCUAAUACUGGAUAUGUGCUCCUGCUGCAUGGUGGGGGUUGGAAAGCUCCGGCGGUUGUGGAUGGACUCGCGGCCUAUCAGCGUGUUGGUGGGGUAGUGGCCUACCAAGGCGGCGACGGGUAGCCGGGCUGAGAGGGUGAACGGCCACAAUGGGACUGAGAAACGGGCCAGACUCCUACGGGAGGCAGCAGGGGGGAAUAUUGCACAAUGGGCGCAAGCCUGAUGCAGCAACGCCGCGUGCGGGAUGACGGCCUUCGGGUUGGAAACCGCUUUCAGCAGGGACGAAGCUUUUUGUGACGGUACCUGCAGAAGAAGCACCGGCUAACUACGUG